GUCCAUGCCGUAAACGAUGAACACUAGGUUUCGGACUCGUCAACGGUUCGGAGCCGCAGCUAACGCGUUAAGUGUUCCGCCUGGGGAAUACGGUCGCAAGACUGAAACUCAAAGGAAUUGACGGGGGCCCGCACAAGCGGUGGAGCAUGUGGUUUAAUUCGACGCAACGCGCAGAACCUUACCAGGGCUUGACAUGGAGGUGACCGGACGAGAGAUCGUCCUUCUCCCGCAAGGGAGCACCUCACACAGGUGCUGCAUGGCUGUCGU
rnacentral:rRNA from 1 species